GCGAGGGUGGUGGAACGGCAGACACGCAGGUUUGAGGGAUCUGUUGCAGAUGAUGCAGUGAGGGUUCAAAUCCCUUUCCUCGCACCA
rnacentral:tRNA from 1 species